GAGAGUAUAGCUUAGUGAUAGAGCACAUGCUUAGCAUGCACAAGGUCCUAGGUUCAAUUCCUAGUACCUCCA
rnacentral:tRNA from 1 species